rnacentral:rRNA from 1 species
AUUGAACGCUGGCGGCAGGCUUAACUCAUGCAAGUCGAGCGGGGAAGGGUAGCUUGCUACCUAACCUAGCGGCGGACGGGUGAGUAAUGCUUAGGAAUCUGCCAUUUAGUGGGGGACAACAUUCCGAAAGGAAUGCUAAUACCGCAUACGUCCUACGGGAGAAAGCAGGGGAUCUUCGGACCUUGCGCUAUAUGAUGAGCCUAAGUCGGAUUAGCUAGUUGGUGGGGUAAAGGCCUACAAAGGCGACGAUCUGUAGCGGGUCCGAGAGGAUGAGCCGCCACACUGGGACUGAGACGCGGCCCAGACUGCUACGGGAGGCAGCAGUGGGGAAUAUUGGACAAUGAGGGGAACCCUGAUCCGGCCAUGCCGCGUGUGUGAAGAAGGCCUUAUGGUUGUAAAGCACUUUAAGCGAGGAGGAGGCUCUUUUGGUUAAUACCCAAGAUGAGUGGACGUUACUCGCAGAAUAAGCAUCGGCUAACUCUGUGCCAGCCGCCGCGGUAA